rnacentral:rRNA from 1 species
GACGAACGCUGGCGGCGUGCUUAACACAUGCAAGUCGAACGGAAAGGCCCUGCUUUCAUUGUACUCUAGUGUCGAACGGGUGUGUAACACGUGGGUGAUCUGUCCUGCACAUUUCGAUAUGCUUGUGAAACUCUGUCUCUUACCCCAUAUAAGCCGUCUUUAUUGUUGUGGUUGUAGAGUUUUUUCGGUGUAGGAUGAGCUCGCGGCCUAUCAGCUUGUUGGUGGGGUAAUGGCCUACCAAGGCGGCGACGGGUAGCCGGCCUGAGAGGGUGUACGGCCACAUUGGGACUGAGAUACGGCCCAGACUCCUACGGGAGGCAGCAGUGGGGAAUAUUGCACAAUGGGCGCAAGCCUGAUGCAGCGACGCCGCGUGGGGGAUGAAGGCCUUCGGGUUGUAAACUCCUUUCGCUAGGGACGAAGCUUUUUUGUGACGGUACCUAGAUAAGAAGCACCGGCUAACUACGUG